UUUUUCUGAUGAAUUUUAUCGGCAAAAACUUGAGUAGCAACCCUCUUCGUUCUUUUUGAUUUGACCAGAGACCUCAAAGCUUUGCCCACCCGUGACCUUCUUGGUUCUCCUCCUCCUUCAAGCUUUCUCAGCCUUCAAGCCCUCUAGUGUUUUUCUUUUCCUCUCGCUGCUGUUUUUAUCUAGCCCGAUGUCCGAUCUUCCCCUUCCUCAUCUCUUUUCCUCUUGCGGCGCCCCUUUUCUUUUCUUUUGCUCUCAGAUUUCUCCCUUCCUCUCAUCCAGCCAUCAUAAACUCCACUCUUAGCUUCCUCUCGAAACUCCCUCAGCUAUCCUUCUCUCACUCUAUCUAUCCCCUUUCCCUUUUUUUUCAGCCCCGGAUUUUCAAUCCCUUUUUUAUCCAGCCGUCCCCUUCAAUCCCCUUGGUUCCUUUCUUUUCACUGUUAACCUUCCCCUUCUCCCAGCCGCAAGCCUUUUUUUCUGAUUUUCUUAGCCGUCUC
rnacentral:lncRNA from 1 species